GGGUAAUUCCUGGCGGGGGAAACCCUAGGGAUAGUGCCACAGAAAAUAAACCGCCAUAACAUGGCAAGGGUGAAAAGGUGUGGUAAGAGCACACCGGUUCUAUUGGUAACAAUGAACGCUGGAAAACCCCACUGGGAGCAAGACUAAGUAGAGAUGACAUUGUUGCAAAACUAAAAGCCGUCCUUGGCUAGUCAUCAGGGUUAGUUGCUUGAGCUUAAGAGUGAUCUUAAGCCUAGACAAAUGAUAGGUUUAAAUGACAGAACCCGGCUUAUAGUUUAUCUGGCAAU
rnacentral:RNase_P_RNA from 1 species